GAUGAAGAACGUAGUGAAAUGCGAUACGUAAUGUGAAUUGCAGAAUUCAGUGAAUCAUCGAGUCUUUGAACGCACAUUGCGCCCCCUGGUAUUCCGGGGGGGCAUGCCUGUCCGAGCGUCAUUGCUGCCCUCAAGCACGGCUUGUGUGUUGGGCCUCCGUCCUCCUCCCGGGGGACGGGCCCGAAAGGCAGCGGCGGCACCGCGUCCGGUCCUCGAGCGUAUGGGGCUUCGUCACCCGCUCUUGUAGGCCCGGCCGGCGCUUGCCGACACAUCAAUCUUUUUUCCAGGUUGACCUCGGAUCAGGUAGGGAUACCCGCUGAACUUAAGCAUAUCAAUAAGCGGAGG
rnacentral:misc_RNA from 1 species